AUGACCACUGCGGGUUACCUUAAUAUAUUGGAAUUUAUAACAAAGACACUAUUCGAGACAUUAUUUCAGAUAAAAGACAAAAUGGGUACUGUGGCCCAGCUAUUUGGACGUUCUACAAGCUUUCCAUUCUACAUGAUCCAACCUUCAAAGGAAGUUGUCGAAAAUGAAAAUUCUACCAUCACUGCCUGCUGA
rnacentral:rRNA from 1 species